GUGUCAGCAGCCGCGGUAAUACGGAGGGUGCAAGCGUUAAUCGGAAUUACUGGGCGUAAAGCGCGCGUAGGCGGCUUUGUAAGUCGGAUGUGAAAGCCCUGGGCUUAACCUGGGAAUUGCAUUCGAUACUGCUUAGCUAGAGUAUGGUAGAGGGAAGUGGAAUUUCCGGUGUAGCGGUGAAAUGCGUAGAUAUCGGAAGGAACACCAGUGGCGAAGGCGACUUCCUGGGCCAAUACUGACGCUGAGGCGCGAAAGCGUGGGGAGCAAACAGGAUUAGAAACCCUCGUAGUCC
rnacentral:rRNA from 1 species